GACAGAGGCCUCAAGCGUUGUUCGGAAUCACUGGGCUUAAAGGGCGCGUAGGCGGGCUGUCAAGUCUGGGGUGAAAUGCCGCGGCUCAACCGUGGAACUGCCUUAGAUACUGACGGCCUCGAGGGAGGUAGGGGCGUGCGGAACUGUAGGUGGAGCGGUGAAAUGCGUUGAUAUCUACAGGAACUCCGGUGGCGAAAGCGGCGCGCUGGACCUCUUCUGACGCUGAGGCGCGAAAGCUAGGGGAGCAAACGGG
rnacentral:rRNA from 1 species